ACUGUUCCCCUUCUGAGAAACCUAACCACUUCACCUCCUUUAUUUUCUCCCUCUUAGCUCUCUAGACACAUUUGCUGCCAUGAGAUGCCUCAGCCAAGGAUUCUGAGCCAAGAUAUGAGGGAAAUGGUUUAACCAGAUGUGUGCCCAUGCCUGCAACACAGAAUUUUAAGAUGCUGAAAUUUAAAAGCUUGCUAUCGUCUCCCCUGCCUCCCAGCAGCAAGGGUCAACUCUACUGAGGAGUGGAGGAAGGCACUUUGAAAAUGCAAAUGCAAAUGCAGCAAGAACAUUUAUGGACUGAUCUUCUACACCUUCCUUCAAGCACUAGAGUUUCCAUGUGCAUGUUUUCAGAGCACAAGCAACCCCAGGAAAGCUGCUUUUCAAAAGGUAUAUUCAUCUCUUGUUUAAC